AGUGAACGCUGGCGGUAGGCCUAACACAUGCGAGUCGAACGGCAGCACAGUAAGAGCUUGCUCUUACGGGUGGCGAGUGGCGGACGGGUGAGGAAUACAUCGGAAUCUACUUUUUCGUGGGGGAUAACGUAGGGAAACUUACGCUAAUACCGCAUACGACCUACGGGUGAAAGCAGGGGAUCUUCGGACCUUGCGCGAUUGAAUGAGCCGAUGUCGGAUUAGCUAGUUGGCGGGGUAAAGGCCCACCAAGGCGACGAUCCGUAGCUGGUCUGAGGAUGAUCAGCCACACUGGAACUGAGACACGGUCCAGACUCCUACGGGAGGCAGCAGUGGGGAAUAUUGGACAAUGGGCGCAAGCCUGAUCCAGCCAUACCGCGUGGGUGAAGAAGGCCUUCGGGUUGUAAAGCCCUUUUGUUGGGAAAGAAAAGCAGCAGGUUAAUACCCCGCUGUUCUGACGGUACCCAAAGAAUAAGCACCGGCUAACUUCGUG
rnacentral:rRNA from 1 species